rnacentral:tRNA from 1 species
GCGGGGAUAGCUCAGUUGGGAGAGCGUCAGACUGAAGUCCAACUUCAUCAUCUAAUCUGAAGGUCAUGUGUUCAAUCCACAUUCACCGCA